CGCGAGCAGAAUUUGUGAGAGCGGAAAGGGGUGUGGAAGGAAGGACAGGCAAGUGGGGACGGAACACUGCAGUGCUGGGUGGAUUUUGCCGCAGUGUUCAUCUGCAGUCCCAGAAUCCUCCGCCGUUAAAACACGUCUUUAGAAAGUAAUCCAAGGAAGGCCUGAAGAACACGCAACUUUGAGCAUGGAGGACGGUGCCAGCGUAACUAAAGGACCAGGCCACGGCCACCUCCGUGCCCAUCACCUCCCGCUACCGCUACCUUCACGGUCCCUCCUUCGCUCCGGAGCUGUACAUAGGCUGCGCGAGCUUUCCACAGUGGCUCUCUGCGGAACCUGCCCAGUGGGUUACUAGACGGCUUCUGUGUGGGAGAAUAAACCACAUGUAGUCUGACAAGAGGUAUUUACAACUGCUUAGCCUGUUCAACUGGAAAUCAACAAAAAGAUGACAUACCCCUGACUCGGUGUUUUACAAAUCAAAAGUCUGGAUCCAUAAACAGCCCACUUGAGGAACGUAGAGCCAAGAGCCGAUUGUGAUGUCUUUUUUCCCCUGGUGUUUCCACGUUAUCAUAAAGAAAUUGUUUUUUAACA